AGCAUCAUGGAGAUCUUUAGUUGCGUGGCUGUGGUUGGCUCCUCCAACUACCUUAGCCUCUUCAUCAGUGAGAUUCUUGAUCCCACAAGUUGGUUUCCAGUGGAACUUCACGAAGAGAACUUUUCCAGAUUUGGAAACUAGAGUGUAGGUGUGGACACCGAACCCUUCCAUGUGUCUGUAGUCUUGUGGGAUGCCAACGUCAUCAAACAUCCAGCACCAUGUGAGUAAACUCUCUGGUAAGUGGGACAUGUAGUCCAGUAUCCUCCAGUACUCCUGGAUGUUUGUCUUCGGGUUCGGCUUCAGUGCAUGGACAACAUCCGGGAACUGAAUCCCAUCACGGAUGAAGAAGACAGGAGUGUUGUUACCAACAAGAUCAAAGUUCCCC
rnacentral:lncRNA from 1 species